rnacentral:rRNA from 1 species
GACGAACGCUGGCGGCGUGCCUAACACAUGCAAGUCGAACGGAAAGGCCCCUUUCGGGGUACUCGAGUGGCGAACGGGUGAGUAACACGUGAAUAACCUGCCCUUGACUUCGGGAUAACUUCAGGAAACUGGGGCUAAUACCGGAUAGGAAUCCUUUCUUCAUGGUGGGGGUUGGAAAGCUUCGGCGGUUUUGGAUGGACUGGCUGCUUAUCAGCUUGUUGGUGGGGUAGUGGCUUACCGAGGCUUUGACGGGUAGCCGGCCUGAGAGGGCGACCGGCCACAUUGGGACUGAGAUACGGCCCAGACUCCUACGGGAGGCAGAAGUGGGGAAUAUUGCACAAUGAGCGGAGGCCUGAUGCAGAAACGCCGCGUGCGGGAUGACGGUGUUCGGGUUGUAAACCGCUUUCAGCAGGGGCGAAGCUUGUGGUGACGGUACCUGCAGAAGAAGCACCGGCUAACUACGUG